UACAAGAAAUACGAGUAUUGGUAGCAGUUCGCGGUAGCACGAAUUCUCGAACUGCUACUAAAAAUGUCAAAACUCAGAUCCUAACUUUAUCAUACCAUUAAAUAAACGCUACACCGGAUUUUCAUUAAGCGGGAAAUCAAAAACCCACUUUCGAGUCUGUUUUUAUUUGGUAACAUUUUGAACCGCCAACACUUUGGGAAAUUUUGGUUUUCACACCAAAACUUUUUGUGUUUGGGAUUUUUUUUGUUUUUGCCAAGUCCUUUCUUCAUCUCAACAAAAAAAAAAUCAUUCAUGUCUAGAGAAAAAGGUCAAUUCUUUUUCCACUCGAUGUAUUGAUCUCAAACCCAGACUAGGCACAGCUCCGGCGACGCUUCUAUUCUGGCAAUCCCAAGCCUCUGCUUCUGCGAAACCCUAGACGUUGGAGGUGAAGAAGACCUGCUACUCUUCAAUGGCAGAAGUAGAGAACACUAAUUCUAUCCGGUCUCAGAAGACGAGAUGGCAAGCUACGAGCCUGGAGACGGGUAGAACUUCUUCCGCCUCUCUCUCUGUCUGUUCGAUUCGAUCUCAUAUAUAUUUCUCCAUCGCUGCUUCUCUGUCUAUUUCAAGUUCCGUUGAUUCUUCUUCUUCGUCGGGGACUAUUGAUUCAGUUACUCCAAGAGACCUGAUGCAACUGCAGAUUUGAGUGGUGCUAUUGAGGCUGGAAACAAGGAGGACAUUGAGAAGUACAGCAAAUGAACUGUGAAGUUAUUAUACCAUCCACUUCAAAGCAAUUGAACCAAGUACUCUUAUUAGUACAUCUACAAUAUCCCACUCUCCAGAUUGCAGAACAAUCUUCGCUCUGUGGUUGCUGUAACAGACUCGGAGUUGCUCUAUAAUCAG